rnacentral:rRNA from 1 species
GUGGGGAAUAUUGGGCAAUGGGGGCAACCCUGAUGCAGCGACGCCGCGUGAGUGAAGAAGUAUUUCGGUAUGUAAAGCUCUAUCAGCAGGGAAGAUAAUGACAGUACCUGACUAAGAAGCCCCGGCUAACUACGUGCCAGCAGCCGCGGUAAUACGUAGGGGGCAAGCGUUAUCCGGAUUUACUGGGUGUAAAGGGAGCGUAGACGGAAUGGCAAGUCUGAAGUGAAAUCCUGCGGCUUAACUGCAGAAUUGCUUUGGAAACUGUCAAUCUGGAGUGUUGGAGAGGUAAGCGGAAUUCCUGGUGUAGCGGUGAAAUGCGUAGAUAUCAGGAAGAACACCGGAGGCGAAGGCGGCUUACUGGACAAUAACUGACGUUGAGGCUCGAAAGCGUGGGAAGCAAACAGGAUUAGAAACCCUUGUAGUCC